GUGGGUUGUUUCCCUCGUGGGGAGAGUGUGGUUUAGGUGAAGGAGAGAAAAGGAAGGUUUUUCACAUCUCUGUUUCUCCCCCCUCCCUGUGCACUGGAUGUGGUGUGUCACUCACAGUGUUUGUCGGUCGAGUAAUCGUUGUCUGUGUCUCUUGGUAGGUGGCUCUUGGGUUUGCGGUCUGAGGUUCGGUGGUCUGAUGAGUGUUCCCUGUGGGCUGGUGUUGGUGAGUGGUGUAUAUCCUUUGAAGGGGAUUCA